rnacentral:rRNA from 1 species
GACGAACGCUGGCGGCGUGCUUAACACAUGCAAGUCGAACGGCAAGGCCCUGCUUUUGUGGGGUGCUCGAGUGGCGAACGGGUGCGUAACACGUGAGUAACCUGCCCUUGACUUUGGGAUAACUUCAGGAAACUGGGGCUAAUACCGGAUAGGAGCUCCUGCUGCAUGGUGGGGGUUGGAAAGUUUCGGCGGUUGGGGAUAGACUCGCGGCUUAUCAGCUUGUUGGUGGGGUAGUGGCUUACCAAGGCUUUGACCGGUAGCCGGCAUGAGAGGGUGACCGGCGACAUUGGGACUGAGAUACGGACCAGACUGCUACGGGGGGCAGCAGGGGGGAAUAUUGCACAAUGGGCGGAAGCCUGAUGAAGCAGCGCCGCGUGCGGGAAGACGGCCUGCGGGUUGUAAACCGCUUUCGCCUGUGACGAAGCGGGAGUGACGGUAAUGAGUAAAGAAGCACCGGCUAACUACGUG